rnacentral:rRNA from 1 species
UGCUAUGGCCAUGCUGCCCUAAACAAGCCUGACCCCGUCUGAUGUCGGAAGCUAAGCAGGGUCGGGCCUGGUUAUUACUUGGAUGGGAGACCACUUAGGAAGACCAUGUGCUGUAGGAG